GAAUUGCGAUACGUAAUGCGAAUUGCAGAUUUUCGUGAGUCAUCGAAUCUUUGAACGCACAUUGCGCCCCCUGGUAUUCCGGGGGGCAUGCCUGUUUGAGCGUCGUUACCUUCUCAAAGCGGUAGUUUUGGUGGUGGGGGAAGUCUGGCACUCCCCUAAAACACAGGUACACGACAGCGGUGCUGUUUGUAGUAGUAGUGGGUGUUUGUUUAGCGCACGCUGCAAUGUCUUAAGGCAACCCCUUUCAUUGCUGGCAAGCGAGACACGACAUCUCUGCAAGCUCGACCUCAAAUCAGGUAGGACUACCCGCUGAACUUAA
rnacentral:misc_RNA from 1 species